rnacentral:rRNA from 1 species
GAAUUACUGGGCGUAAAGCGCACGCAGGCGCUCUGUUAAGUCAGAUGUAAAAUCCCCGGGCUUAACCUGGGAACUGCAUUUGAAACUGGCAGGCUUGAGUCUCGUAGAGGGGGGUAGAAUUCCAGGUGGAGCGGUGAAAUGCGUAGAGAUCUGGAGGAAUACCGGUGGCGAAGGCGCCCCCCUGGACGAAGACUGACGCUCAGGUGCGAAAGCGUGGGGAGCAAACAGGAUUAGAUACCUUGGUAGUCCACGCCGUAAACGAUGUCGACUUGGAGGUUGUUCCCUUGAGGAGUGGCUUCCGGAGCUAACGCGUUAAGUCGACCGCCUGGGGAGUACGGGCGCAAGGUUAAAACUCAAAUGAAUUGACGGGGGCCCGCACAAGCGGUGGAGCAUGUGGUUUAAUUCGAUGCAACGCGAAGAACCUUACCUACUCUUGACAUCCAGAGAACUUAGCAGAGAUGCUUUGGUGCCUUCGGGAGCUCUGAGACAGGUGCUGCAUGGCUGUCGUCAGCUCGUGUUGUGAAAUGUUGGGUUAAGUCCCGCAACGAGCGCAACCCUUAUCCUUUGUUGCCAGCGAUUCGGUCGGGAACUCAAAGGAGACUGCCGGUGAUAAACCGGAGGAAGGUGGGGAUGACGUCAAGUCAUCAUGGCCCUUACGAGUAGGGCUACACACGUGCUACAAUGGCGCAUACAAAGAGAAGCGACCUCGCGAGAGCAAGCGGACCUCAUAAAGUGCGUCGUAGUCCGGAUCGGAGUCUGCAACUCGACUCCGUGAAGUCGGAAUCGCUAGUAAUCG